CUGGUAGGACUGCGACGACGAGAGCAUGUUCAAACUCCUCAAGUCGCAGGUGGGGAAGUACUUGCAGAAGCGAUUUGCUGACACUUGGAACCAUUUGGUCCGACCGUUGUGGUUGGCCGAGGAGAUCUGGCACCAACUCCUGGAGUUUUGGUCGAGCCCAUAAUUCUAGGCACAGUCAGCCAAAAAUAAGGUCAAUCGGGGAGCAAACUUAGAAGCAGCUACGACCGUCUACUGCGAGGGUCGUCAUCCGUUGGGUUGCACAAGCGAAAGAUGACGCCCCGUCACUCAAAUAGAGGUGUUCGAAAAGGUCUACAAAAAGAAGGACGGUCAGCGGAGCAGCCUGAGUGCGGAGGAGGUCACGGACAUAUUUUUUAGGAUGAUGGAGGAAUGUUAGAGACAGCACAACAGCAAUUAAGAGCCUCUAUUGUCGUCUAAAGGCUCCAUGGCCCCGGACGAGUAGUAGGUCCAGAUAUCAGCAGCGGGCGACCGGAAGAAGGGCCGAGUAUUCGGUCUCGAUUUCGAGGCCCACCACUCGGUUGCUGAACUAUUGCAGGCUAGCCAUUUGACUAGUCCAUUGCCCUCGCCACCACAGUCGCAAUGCCCCGACAUAGAUGAUCGAGUGUUGGCCCUCGAGCGCUACAUCAGAAGCAU